GCCAGUGUGGUAUAGUGGUUUGAACGUUGAACUACAACUCUGGAGACCGGGGUUUGAAUCCACCCUCAGGUA